rnacentral:rRNA from 1 species
UACGUAGGGGGCGAGCGUUGUCCGGAUUCAUUGGGCGUAAAGAGCUCGUAGGCGGCUUGGCAAGUCGGGUGUGAAAACUUCAGGCUCAACCUGGAGCGGCCACUCGAUACUGCCAUGGCUUGAGUCCGGUAGGGGACCACGGAAUUCCUGGUGUAGCGGUGAAAUGCGCAGAUAUCGGGAAGAACACCCGUGGCGAAGGCGGUUCUCUGGGACGGUACUGACGCUGAGACGCGAAAGCGUGGGGAGCGAACAGG